UCCUGAUACAUCAUUCGACCCGAA
rnacentral:piRNA from 1 species